ACGUAGGGUGCAAGCGUUAAUCGGAAUUACUGGGCGUAAAGGGUGCGUAGGCGGAUAUACAAGUUAGAUGUGAAAGCCCUGGGCUUAACCUAGGAUGUGCAUUUAAGACUGUAAGUCUAGAGUAUAUGAGAGGUGGGUAGAAUUCCAAGUGUAGCAGUGAAAUGCGUAGAGAUUUGGAGGAAUAUCAAAGGCGAAGGCAGCCCACUGGCAUAAAACUGACGCUGAGGCACGAAAGCGUGGGUAGCGAACAGG
rnacentral:rRNA from 1 species